AGGAUGACGACAAGGACAAGUCCCUGGUCGAGAAAACAGCAGGGAGCAACAUGAUUCACGGUCUAGAUUAGAACAACACUGAACUGAUAUAUUUUUUGUAGUACAGGAGCUUCAAGACAAAGGGCAUCAGGCUUCACGGCAACACAUUUAUCUAUAACUUUCUCCCCAAAUCUGAAAGUAUUUGGCCCCUAAAUUCUAAUUCUCAUUAGAAAGUCAGAGUAUUUGUGGAAUAUGGUCUAUGAAUAUUGACAAAUUUGAUUGCAGCAGGGGCGACAAAGUUAGUGCAGUCCUCACCGUGCACAUAUAUUUCAGGGUAAAAUCAAACUUCAGUUAGAAGGACAUGAUCAGGCAGGAGAUUCAUGCAGCAUUGGAUGUGAGAGGCCCUAAGUGCAUUUAGCAUGUGAAAAGAUGUGUUUAGUAUUGUUCCAAGUUGUUACCUUUCGAAAAGAGAACGCAUCAAGGAUAAUUUUUUCUUCGAAGCACGAGUUAACCACAAGGAAUCUCCAUGCUUUUGCACCGGGCAGACCUCAAGGAACCUCUGCCGAAGAUUUACAUGGUGAAGGACUCGAACUGUAUCUCACGUCCACUUGGCCACACCUGGGUUGGCUGCCAACAGCCCUCUGAUUGAACAACUGCUCCGUCUAUCCGAGUCUCUGUCGGUCGGCUGUUCUUCUCGGACAUCACCAUACAGCUCCUCAGCAGCAAACUCAUGUGCUUCUCCACCAGAAUCAAUUCCCGAGCUGUUGAUAUCCCCUAUUCCUCUAAGGAUAUGCCCAUGGUAAUUUUUUCCACAAGACGAGUGUUGCAGUAUUUGUAUGAACUGGAGUACUGUACUGUUGCAGUAGUGUACAACUAUACAUACAUGGUUUGAAAAUCCUUUCUUUUUCAGUUAUAUAUUAGAAUGGAAUUUGUACGGCUUGGACUGCAUUUUCACAAUCAAUAUGGUGUGUUCAAGUAGUGUAAAUUGUUUAACUUGCUUUUUGGCCAGUAUCCCGAUAUAUGUGGAUGUAUCGUUGCUUUUUACAAUCAAUUUGUAAUGUUGCUUAAUGUACCGUUUGGUCUGCUUUUUUGGUCUG